rnacentral:rRNA from 1 species
UCCAGACUCCUACGGGAGGCAGCAGUGGGGAAUAUUGGGCAAUGGGCGCAAGCCUGACCCAGCAACGCCGCGUGAAGGAAGAAGGCUUUCGGGUUGUAAACUUCUUUUCUCAGGGACGAAGCAAGUGACGGUACCUGAGGAAUAAGCCACGGCUAACUACGUGCCAGCAGCCGCGGUAAUACGUAGGUGGCAAGCGUUAUCCGGAUUUACUGGGUGUAAAGGGCGUGUAGGCGGGGACGCAAGUCAGAUGUGAAAACCACGGGGUCAACCUGUGGCCUGCAUUUGAAACUGUGUUUCUUGAGUACUGGAGAGGCAGACGGAAUUCCUAGUGUAGCGGUGAAAUCCGUAGAUAUUAGAAGGAACACCAAUAGCGUAGGCAGGUUGCUGGGACGGUUCUGACACUAAGGCACGAAAGCGUAGGGAGCAAACGGGGUUAGAUACCCUCGUAUA